rnacentral:snRNA from 1 species
GAGACUAUCCAUACCUUAAAGAA